rnacentral:rRNA from 1 species
UACGGAGGGAGCGAGCGUUGUUCGGAAUUACUGGGCGUAAAGCGCACGUAGGCGGCUUAUUAAGUUGGGUGUGAAAUCCCAGGGCUUAACCCUGGAACUGCAUUCAAAACUAAUAGGCUAGAGACUGAUAGAGGGUGGUAGAAUUCCUAGUGUAGAGGUGAAAUUCGUAGAUAUUAGGAGGAAUACCGGAGGCGAAAGCGGCCACCUGGAUCAGUACUGACGCUAAGGUGCGAAAGCGUGGGGAGCAAACAGG